UAAAGACGAUGCUUGGAGGGUCUAAUUGAUUUCAGAGCAGUUUGAGGCAGAGGACAGGACUGAUGGAAGGAUGUGGGUUGUGAGUGACGCCGAUUGUUAGAACCCGCUUUCAGCUGUGACUUGAUCUAGUUCUAGAUGUUCCUCUGGUCAGUUGGUGAAAGAACCCUCUGCAGACAUACUCUCCAUAUGAUCUAGGCCAGUUCUGACCACAGUGGAUCUCUUCUGUGUUUUUUGAAUCCCAUGUCGGACCGAGCCGCUACAAGCUUUGGGCCGUCAGAAGAUGCUGAUGAGAUCUACGGCGACCAAACCAGAGGAGCAGUAAACAGUGAGAGCAUGUUCAACACUGUGGACGUCCAAAAGCAGAACUCCUGUGAGGAACCGGGACCUCCAGGAUGCUGAGGAGCCUCCCAGUCCCCACCUGAGGACGGCACAGAGGAAAACACCUGGAGGAAAGAAGGUUGAAUAUGGAAGCAGCGUUCUAGCAGUCGGAUCUCCGUGGAACAGACUCCAUCCACACGUGUUUGAAGGAGCUGAAGCAGAGGAUGGAGAACACAGACCACCAAGGAGGAGAAACAUGGCUCCUCUGCUCGUCUCUCCAACAUUCUGGAGUCCUGGAAUGAAAAACGUCCACGAGCCCGCAGCUAAACCA